UGCCACUCUCGUCUUCGAUGUGGAGCUUCUAAAACUGGAAUGACAGGAAUGGCCUCCUCCCUUAGCUCCCUGUUCUUGGGAACCAGAGGGUCACAGCCAAGGCCUGGGUGAGGACACUUUUGUUUGAAAGCCACAACAAAUGGCUGCCAUCCUAUUUGUGAUGGCAGUCAGAGCUACUUGUAACCUGGUCCUGUUGUGCACAUCUAUCUGCCAUGGAGGGAUCUGGUGCCUCCAGACAUGUGCACAUGAAUCCAUAUGGAGCUUUUCCUGAUGUUCCACUCCACUUUGUAUAGACAUCUGCCCUGACUGAAUGUGUUCUGUCACUCAGCUUUGCUUCCGACACCUCUGUUUCCUCUUCCCCUUUCUCCUCGUAUGUGUGUUUACCUAAACUAUAUGCCAUAAACCUCAAGUUAUUCAUUUUAUUUUGUUUUCAUUUUGGGGUGAAGAUUCAGUUUCAGUCUUUUGGAUAUAGGUUUCCAAUUAAGUACAUGGUCAAGUAUUAACAGCACAAGUGGUAGGUUAACAUUAGAAUAGGAAUUGGUGUUGGGGGGGGGGUUUGCAAGAAUAUUUUAUUUUAAUUUUUUGGAUGAAAUUUUUAUCUAUUAUAUAUUAAACAUUCUUGCUGCUGCGCUGCAAAGCCAUAGCAGAUUUGAGGCGCUGUUGAGGACUGAAUUACUCUCCAAGUUGAGAGAUG
rnacentral:lncRNA from 1 species